UUUUAUGUAUAUAUUAUAUAUACAUACACAUAUAUAUAUAUAUAUAUAUAUAUUUUUUUUUUUUUCAUUGUGUGAAAUUAUAAUGCUCUGUCUUUAGGGAUUUGCAGCAAAGCAUUGCCAGAGAACCUAGCGCUCCUUCAAUUCCUACCCCUGCAUAUCAGUCUUCUCCAGCAGGCGGGGGACAUGCAACAGCUCCUCCAACACCAGCUCCAAGAACCAUGCCGCCUGCUAAGCCCCAGCCCCCAGCCCGGCCUCCACCUCCUGUGCUUUCAGCAAAUCGAGCUCCUUCUGCUACUGUUCCAGCUCCAGUGGGGACAGGGACUACUGCACCAGCUCCAUCACAGACCCCUGGCUCAGCUCCCCCUCCACAGGCCCAGGGACCACCCUACCCUACCUAUCCAGGAUAUCCCGGGUAUUGCCAAAUGCCCAUGCCCAUGGGCUACAAUCCCUACGCGUACGGCCAGUACAAUAUGCCAUAUCCACCUGUUUAUCACCAGAGCCCCGGACAGGCUCCAUACCCAGGACCCCAGCAGCCUUCAUACCCCUUCCCUCAGCCCCCACAGCAGUCUUACUAUCCACAGCAGUAGUAGUUCUGCUCAGAAGCUCAGCUGGUUCAGUUCAGAGGGAAAGAAAUACCGACCCUGCAAUAAGUGUACUAAACUCUACGCUCUGGUUAAUAUAAUGUACUUUACUGUACUGAAUGCAGUGUGUAAUUUCUGUCUGCGGCUAAAAGCUGUGCCCCAGUUCCACAAUUGAUUGCAUAUAUGAGAUUUUGCUGCUAUUGCAGUAUAAAUACUAGGUAUAAUAAGAUUUGAAAUAAAUUACAUUAUAGUUCAUAAAAGUUGAAGAUG
rnacentral:lncRNA from 1 species